rnacentral:rRNA from 1 species
AGUGAACGCUGGCGGUAGGCCUAACACAUGCAAGUCGAACGGCAGCACAGUAAGAGCUUGCUCUUACGGGUGGCGAGUGGCGGACGGGUGAGGAAUACAUCGGAAUCUACUUUUUCGUGGGGGAUAACGUAGGGAAACUUACGCUAAUACCGCAUACGACCUACGGGUGAAAGCAGGGGAUCUUCGGACCUUGCGCGAUUGAAUGAGCCGAUGUCGGAUUAGCUAGUUGGCGGGGUAAAGGCCCACCAAGGCGACGAUCCGUAGCUGGUCUGAGAGGAUGAUCGGCCACACUGGAGCUGAGACACGGUCCAGACGCCUACGGGAGGCAGCAGUGGGGAAUAUUGGACAAUGGGCGCAAGCCUGAUCCAGCCAUACCGCGUGGGUGAAGAAGGCCUUCGGGUUGUAAAGCCCUUUUGUUGGGAAAGAAAAGCAGCAGGUUAAUACCCCGCUGUUCUGACGGUACCCAAAGAAUAAGCACCGGCUAACUUCGUG